UCUUUCUUGUCUAAUCCGAAAUCUGAGAAAAAUGCUAAUAUAUAUAAUAUAGCAUUGCCACUAUUAGGUAUUUUACUGUCUAUUAGUUUUUCUAUGAUUUAGGCUUAGACCAGUAAAGUUGUUAAAUUGUUAAAUUUAUGUAUUUUAAAUUUAUUUACGUAGUUUAGUUAAGACAAUGUAAAAUUUAAUUAGUGUAAAUUUGUUUAGACUUUCAAUAUUAUGUGUUGCUUCUCUUAAAUGAGAUAAAAACCCAAGGAUGCAAAAAACUUAAUAUAAAAUAGUGUGAAGAAGAAGUAGUAACUGAAAUGAACAGCAUAAUAAAAUUUGAUAAGUUUGACUCAGCACUUGACAAUGUUUCAUCUAGUAACUCUGUAGUAUCUCUGCAGUUAAACAAAGAGUUCAAAAUAUUAGUGGUAAGAACUGUCAAAAACUUGUGAUAGCUAUGAUGAAGAGAUUUGUGACAAAUUCGCUCAUGGCCAAAUCUAAUAUGGCAGCUGGAAAAAGCAAAGGAUCUUUUUAGCCUAACUAAGCUAUACAACUUAAUAAAAGUUUGUGCAUCGACUUCUCACGAAUCAUACACAGAGGCGAUUGUCGAUGCAAUAAUUGCUGAUUCGUGAAAACGGGCAACUUUUGCUUGUCUUAAAGUGCCUUAAAUCCAUCGUUAUAA